CUCUGAAGCAUAGUUAAGAAGGGUCAGGAACAGAUUCACAUCCUCUGAUGAUGUUUUACUGAGGAUGAAGGUCUAAUCAAGGAUCAGCAGCUUGCGAUUUAUGUCACCAUCUGCAAAUAUAAAGAAG